rnacentral:rRNA from 1 species
AACCAACAGGGAUUGCCUCAGUAACGGCGAGUGAAGCGGCAAGAGCUCAAAUUUGAAAGCUGGCCCCUUCGGGGUCCGCGUUGUAAUUUGCAGAGGAUGCUUCGGGUGCAGCCCCCGUCUAAGUGCCCUGGAACGGGCCGUCAUAGAGGGUGAGAAUCCCGUCUGGGACGGGGUGUCUGCGUCCGUGUGAAGCUCCUUCGAAGAGUCGAGUUGUUUGGGAAUGCAGCUCUAAAUGGGUGGUAAAUUUCAUCUAAAGCUAAAUACUGGCCGGAGACCGAUAGCGCACAAGUAGAGUGAUCGAAAGAUGAAAAGCACUUUGAAAAGAGAGUUAAACAGCACGUGAAAUUGUUGAAAGGGAAGCGUUUGCGACCAGACUCGCCCGCGGGGUUCAGCCGGCAUUCGUGCCGGUGUACUUCCCCGUGGGCGGGCCAGCGUCGGUUUGGGCGGCCGGUCAAAGGCCCUCGGAAUGUAUCACCUCUCGGGGUGUCUUAUAGCCGAGGGUGCAAUGCGGCCUGCCCGGACCGAGGAACGCGCUUCGGCUCGGACGCUGGCGUAAUGGUCGUAAAUGACCCGUCUUGAAACACGGACCAAGGAGUCUAACAUCUACGCGAGUGUUCGGGUGUCAAACCCGUACGCGCAGUGAAAGCGAACGGAGGUGGGAGCCCCCUCGUGGGGCGCACCAUCGACCGAUCCUGAUGUCUUCGGAUGGAUUUGAGUACGAGCGUAGCUGUGGGGACCCGAAAGAUGGUGAACUAUGCCUGAAUAGGGCGAAGCCAGAGGAAACUCUGGUGGAGGCUCGCAGCGGUUCUGACGUGCAAUCGAUCGUCGAAUUUG